GUUAUGAUUACUCAGUCAGUAGAGCAUCAGACUUUUAAUCUGAGGGUCCAGGGUUCAAGUCCCUGUUUGGGCG
rnacentral:tRNA from 1 species